GGAUUGCGANUGGGCGAAAGCCUGACGCAGCGACGCCGCGUGCGGGAUGAAGGCCUUCGGGUUGUAAACCGCUUUCAGCAGGGACGAAGCGAAAGUGACGGUACCUGCAGAAGAAGCGCCGGCUAACUACGUGCCAGCAGCCGCGGUAACACGUAGGGCGCAAGCGUUGUCCGGAAUUAUUGGGCGUAAAGAGCUCGUAGAUGGUUCGCCACGUCUGUUGUGAAAAUCCAGGGCUUAACCCUGGACUUGCUGCGGAUACGGGUGAACUAGAGGUAGGUAGGGGAGAAUGGAAUUCCCGGUGUAGCGGUGAAAUGCGCAGAUAUCGGGAGGAACACCGGUGGCGAAGGCGGUUCUCUGGGCCUUACCUGACACUGAGGAGCGAAAGCGUGGGGAGCGAACAGGAUUAGAUACCCUGGUAGUCCACGCCGUAAACGUUGGGCGCUAGGUGUGGGGUCCUUCCACGGAUUCCGUGCCGCAGCUAACGCAUUAAGCGCCCCGCCUGGGGAGUACGGCCGCAAGGCUAAAACUCAAAGAAAUUGACGGA
rnacentral:rRNA from 1 species